rnacentral:tRNA from 1 species
GCGGAAGUGGCGGAACUGGCAGACGCGCCAGACUAAGGAUCUGGUGGGUAACCCCCGUGGAGGUUCGAGUCCUCUCUUCCGCA